rnacentral:misc_RNA from 1 species
UUUUUUUCAGAAUUUCAUUUCUUUAUAGUGACAGAAUAUCUGGUGUCACCAUUGAUGAAUUCAUGUUUACAUAUAUUUAAUUACACAUGUAUAAUAGACAUCAUUUUACAUAAAGCCUCUGUAUACUAAUAUUAUUUUUGCACUGGGGAUAAUGUCAGGGAUUGUAUUUUUGAUAAGACUUUACAACUGUUUCCAGGUCUGCUGUGCUAUUUUCACAUCAUUUGUAUUACAUGUAGAUAUUGCACUUACCCGGUAAACCUUUCUCUUGAUCUUGUAUGUCUUGUACAAAAUAUUUAUGAAGCGUUCAGGUGUUUUACUUUUGAAUAAUUUUGUACAUAAAAUUCUUAGUUAUGCAUUUGAAUAAUUUGAUUGGAAAGUUUGUGAAAGAUGAUGGGUUUGUUUAUUUACAGUUUCUGUCCAUUAUGGAAUGCAAAUUAACCUAAAAACCCUUCAUGAACAAUAAAUACAUGUAUCCAGUAUAUAUUGUAUAGAGACAUUGUCCAUGAAAGAACAUUUUUCAGGUAAAGUGUUGUAUAAAGAUUUACAAAAAUGAGUCCUUGUUUGUGUAAUUAAGAAUUCAUUAGUACCGGUACAUGAUUUCAUUGACAGCUAUGUAGUUAACUCUUUCUGGUUGCUUUUCAUUGAUGCAACACCUUGAGAGCAUGACAAAAUCCUAUUCAAAUGAUAUUGCAGUGACAUUAUAUGUAAAGGAGUACCAGGUAAAAGAGGCAAAUGUGAAAAUUGCUAAUUUCAAUGUUUCACAACUUUGUCCCAAGAAUGUGUUUACUCUAAAACUACCUAAACCAUGCUACAUGUAUUAUGUGUAACUCCACUUGUAUAUAGAGAGAAUAAAUUCAAGAGC